rnacentral:rRNA from 1 species
GGGUUGUGAGGUUAAGCGACUAAGCGUACACGGUGGAUGCCCUGGCAGUCAGAGGCGAUGAAGGGCGUGCUAAUCUGCGAUAAGCGCCGGUAAGGUGAUAUGAACCGUUAUAACCGGCGAUACCCGAAUGGGGAAACCCAGUGUGAUUCGUCACACUAUCAUUAACUGAAUCCAUAGGUUAAUGAGGCGAACCGGGGGAACUGAAACAUCUAAGUACCCCGAGGAAAAGAAAUCAACCGAGAUUCCCCCAGUAGCGGCGAGCGAACGGGGAGGAGCCCAGAGCCUGAAUCAGCAUGUGUGUUAGUGGAAGCGUCUGGAAAGGCGCGCGAUACAGGGUGACAGCCCCGUACACAAAAGCGCAUGUGCUGUGAGCUCGAUGAGUAGGGCGGGACACGUGGUAUCCUGUCUGAAUAUGGGGGGACCAUCCUCCAAGGCUAAAUACUCCUGACUGACCGAUAGUGAACCAGUACCGUGAGGGAAAGGCGAAAAGAACCCCGGCGAGGGGAGUGAAAAAGAACCUGAAACCGUGUACGUACAAGCAGUGGGAGCACAGGUUUACCUGUGUGACUGCGUACCUUUUGUAUAAUGGGUCAGCGACUUAUAUUCUGUAGCAAGGUUAACCGUAUAGGGGAGCCGGAGGGAAACCGAGUCUUAACCGGGCGUUAAGUUGCAGGGUAUAGACCCGAAACCCGGUGAUCUAGCCAUGGGCAGGUUGAAGGUUGGGUAACACUAACUGGAGGACCGAACCGACUAAUGUUGAAAAAUUAGCGGAUGACCUGUGGCUGGGGGUGAAAGGCCAAUCAAACCGGGAGAUAGCUGGUUCUCCCCGAAAGCUAUUUAGGUAGCGCCUCGUGAAUUCAUCUCCGGGGGUAGAG